rnacentral:rRNA from 1 species
GAACGCGAAGAACCUUACCUGGACUUGAUAUCCCGGGAAUCUCCUGGAAACAGGGGAGUGCCUUUCGGGGAACCCGGAGACAGGUGCUGCAUGGCUGUCGUCAGCUCGUGUCGUGAGAUGUUGGGUUAAGUCCCGCAACGAGCGCAACCCUUGUCUUUAAUUGCCAGCAUUCAGUUGGGCACUUUAGAGAGACUGCCGGUGUUAAGCCGGAGGAAGGUGGGGAUGACGUCAAGUCCUCAUGGCCUUUAUGUCCAGGGCUACACACGUGGCUACAAUGGGUGGUACAAUGGGUUGCCAAGCCGCGAGGCGGAGCUAAUCCUAAAAAGCCGGUCUCAGUUCGGAUUGCAGGCUGCAACUCGCCUGCAUGAAGUCGGAGUUGCUAGUAACGCGGGUCAGCUGCCUGCGGGUGAAUACGUUCCCGGGGUC